AUUUAAGUAGUUUAUAUAUCAAAAAUAUAGGUUUGUGGUUCCUAGGAAGUUGUUUUAACCUUAGAUU
rnacentral:tRNA from 1 species